rnacentral:rRNA from 1 species
AUUGAACGCUGGCGGCAGGCCUAACACAUGCAAGUCGAACGAGUGGCGGACGGGUGAGUAAUGUCUGGGAAACUGCCCGAUGGAGGGGGAUAACUACUGGAAACGGUAGCUAAUACCGCAUACCAUCGGAUGUGCCCAGAUGGGGUUAGCUAGUGGGGGGGGUAACGGCUCACCUAGGCGACGAUCCCUAGCUGGUCGGAGAGGAUGACCAGCCACACUGGAACGGAGGCACGGUCCAGACUCCUACGGGAGGCAGCGGAGGGGAAUAUUGCACAUGGGGCGCAAGCCUGAUGAAGCCAUGCCGCGUGUAUGAAGAGGGCCUUGGGGUUGUAAGGUACUUUCAGCGAGGAGGCGUUACUCGCAGAAGAAGCACCGGCUAACUCCGUGCCAGCAGCCGCGGUAAUUC